rnacentral:rRNA from 1 species
ACGGAAGGCAGCAGUGGGGAAUAUUGCACAAUGGGGGAAACCCUGAUGCAGCAACGCCGCGUGAGUGAUGACGGUCUUCGGAUUGUAAAGCUCUGUCUUUAGGGACGAUAAUGACGGUACCUAAGGAGGAAGCCACGGCUAACUACGUGCCAGCAGCCGCGGUAAUACGUAGGUGGCAAGCGUUGUCCGGAUUUACUGGGCGUAAAGGGAGCGUAGGUGGAUAUUUAAGUGGGAUGUGAAAUACCCGGGCUUAACCUGGGUGCUGCAUUCCAAACUGGAUAUCUAGAGUGCAGGAGAGGAAAGGAGAAUUCCUAGUGUAGCGGUGAAAUGCGUAGAGAUUGGGAGGAACACCAGUGGCGAAGGCGACUAACUGGACUGUAACUGACGCUGAGGCGCGAAAGUGUGGGGAGCAAACAGGAUUAGAUACCCUGGUA